rnacentral:lncRNA from 1 species
GAAAGACCCGUGGAGAGAUAGCAGCUCCUUCUUGUAGCAUCAAACGCCAUCCUUGUCUGUGCAAACUGAUCCCUAUUCCCAGGAAGGUUGUGGGAAUAUGUUUCAUACCAGCGACACCUGCUGAAAUGUUCUUUUCUGCCAUCAGAGGUGCUGGAGAUCUGUUCCCCUUUGCACCUGACCAUUCUACCAUUCACCCUCUGCCUGCAGCCCCUGCCUUAGUCUUACAAAGAGCCUAUGAAGCAAAUUAGGUAGGUUAUAUCCCCUUGGUAGGCUUUGUGCCUGAGAUCUGAAGAAAGAAAAAGUUGUUUUGAAAAGAUGCAUUUGAAAGGAAAAAAAAGAAUGAAAAGGAAGACUGGACUCCUGGACCAUUUACAGGUGAGCCAAUUCCAGCAGCCAAAGGAGUUUUGUUAACUUUUUCACAUAAAGCCUGGAAAUUCAUUGUCCUGUACAACUAUUAAAGGUCCAGAAGCCCAGUUCCCCUGCUUUGCAUCUGAUCCACCUACUGGGGUUCCUUACCUGUCAGGGUGGUCCAGCAGCAAGGAUGUCCCAGACAUCCUCUAAGACCUUGUGAGUGGACACAGGAUCACGCCUAGGACUGGUGCUGCAAUAUACUGGAAUGCAUUUGCUUGAAAGACGCCUGGAUGGCUUCUUUCAACCCCUCCCUUGAAGCUGCUUGCCCCCUAAGUGUCAAGCAAGCAAGUGGCAUUUGGGUACAAUAAAUUAGCCUGGAGACUGUAGUCUCUAUGCUCACUGGGAGCAAGAGGGUGAGGUUGUAGGGAGGUCAGCAUUGUGCAGGCGCGCCAGCAGAGUCAAUAUGGUGCUCCUGCUGGUCUGCACAGUGCUGACCUCUUCAUCACCUUGCCCUCUCUGCUGCUUCACAGCACCCCUCCCUUCCUCGAAGGUAAGAGUGGCUUGGUGGCUGUAAAUCCUGCUUUAUAGAGCACGGUCCUCUAUUUGAAGAGCUGUCUGGUCCAAAUCUGGUUAAAACAUUGAAGAACCCAGGGAGGAAGUGCAGGGAGGGGACCUUGAAGUUGUCCAUCAACAUCUGGCAGUACCUGUGCAGCAGGUGGUCGCAGCCCUCCCAACUAUGGUGAGAUGCAUUGUGUUUCUAUUUAAGCCACACGGCUUAUUUCUAAAUCUGCAUCUCCACAUACAGAUUUUGCAGGUGUGCAUUUUAUGCAAAUAUGUGUCCUCUUUUGGGGGAAGAGGCGUUCCCUGGUUUUUUUGGCGCUGCAUUAGCAUCUGUCCUGGAGAUGGUGGGAAGCCUGUGAGCAUUGGAGGAAGGGUGUCAUUUUGCAGAAGGAACGUAGAGGGCACUAGUGCUUCAGUUAUGCUUUCUGCACAGAGCAGUGUUCCUUCUCAGGGAACUCUGGGCGUUGAAUCAGAUGGCAGGCUUUGGAUGGCCAGGAGACGAUAGUGAGUGUGCAUAUACAGGAAAGGACAGAGUGUGAUUGAUUUCCCAGCACAGAGUACCAUGUGUUGCUUUCUGGGAGCUCCUUGAGGUCUCUUUGAGGAGGCAAGCAUAGCCCCCAGCUGUUGAGCAAAAUAAAACAAAAUCUUUAAAAUGGGAAUGCCAUUUCCUGGAUACAGCUGCAGUGGAGGGGGCGUGAACAGUAGCGGAGUGUAAGCACCAAACCUGCCACUGUCCCUCUCCCCCUGCUUUUUUGGGUGUGUGUUAACAUUUAUAUCAGCAACCUCAGAUAUACAGAUGAUACAUCUCUGAUGGCAGAAAGUCAGGAGGAAUUAAAGAACCUCUUAAUGAGGGUGAAAGAGGAGAGCGCAAAAUAUGGUCUGAAGCUCAACAUCAAAAAAACUAAGAUCAUGGCCACUGGUCCCAUCACCUCCUGGCAAACAGAAGGGGAAGAAAUGGAGGCAGUGAGAGAUUUUACUUUCUUGGGCUGCAUGAUCACUGCAGAUGGCGACAGCAGUCACGAAAUUAAAAGAUGCCUGCUUCUUGGGAGAAAAGUGAUGACAAACCUAGACAGCAUCUUUAAAAAGCAGAGACAUCACCUUGCGGACAAAGGCCCGUAUAGUUAAAGCUAUGGUUUUCCCAGUAGUGAUGUAUGGAAGUGAGAGCUGGACCAUAAAGAAGGCUGAUCGCAGAUGCAUUUGAAUUAUAGUGCUGGAUGAGACUCUUGAGAGUCCCAUGGACUGCUAGAAGAUCAAACCUAUCCAUUCUGAAGGAAAUCAGCCCUGAGUGCUCACUGGAAGGACAGAUCCUGAAGCUGAGGCUCCAAGACUUUGGCCACCUCAUGAGAAGAGAAGACUCCCUGGAAAAGACCCUGAAGUUGGGAAAGAGGAGGAGGAGACGACAGAGGGUGAAAUGGUUGGACAGUGUUCUCAAAGCUACCAACAUGAGUUUGACCAAACUGCGGGAGGCAGUGGAAGACAGGAGUGCCUGGCGUGCUCUGGUCCAUGGGGUCACGAAGAGGCGGACACGACUACAGUAAACAACUAAACUACAACAUUUAGUCCUGUUCUAAAACCUCAGGAGGACAUACACGCUCACUUCCAAAAUAUUCUGCAACACUUUUGAUGAGAGCUGUUUAUGGUUGUUGGUGGUAGUCUGCAUUCCUGCUGUAACAGCCUGUAAUCUUAUGAUAGCUUCUAAGGUUGUUAUUUCCAUCCAGACAAUAUCUGCUUCCAAGCCAAACGAUGCUGGCGUGCAUCCUUCCUUGAGGUGAAUAAAGUGGAAAAUGCCAUGCUUAAGGAUAAUCCAGAUUGGUAGCUAACUGGCUAUGCCUGGGGGUGGGGGAAACUGAACUGUCUGAAUACUGGAAACGUCAAAGAAUUGUAGCACUGUAGAGUUGGAAGUGAUCCAGGCAUCACUAGUCCAACCCCCUGCAAUGCUUCCUCUUCAUGUUGUUCCCUGAGAGUAGGGGUAGACAACAUGGUUCCCUCUAGAUAUUGUAGGCUCAAACUCCAAUCACCCUGGUCAUUGGCCACGCUAGCUAGGGCUGAUGGGAGUUGGAAUCCAACAACAUCUGAAGGACACCAUAUAGACUACCCCUACCCUAGAUGGCUCAAGACAGUAAAACAAACAAACACAUGUAAUUUCUACCAGGGUAGAUUGAUUUUUUUUUUUUUACACAUGGUACAGUCAAGUAGACUCCACUCCUAAAACUGUAUUCCCCUGAGCGGUUGUUCAGGGUGCAGAUGGUCUGAUUCAGUACAGUGGUACCUCGGGUUACAGACGCUUCAGGUUACAGAUGCUUCAGGUUACAGACUCCGCUAACCCAGAAAUAGUACCUUGGAUUAAGAACUUUGCUUCAGGAUGAGAACAGAAAUCGCACGGCAGCAGCGGGAGGCCCCAUUAGCUAAAGUGGUGCUUCAGGUUAAGAACAGUUUCAGGUUAAGAAUGGACCUCUGGAAUGAAUUAAGUACUUAACCCAAGGUACCACUGUAUACUCUAACAACACUUGGAGGAUUUGGUGGGUGACUCCUGAAUGUGUGAAAUCUGUGCUGAUGUGAUUUGUGUGUGUAGUUUGCACGCCAUCCUCAGCUCCUUGGAGGAAAGGUGCUAUAGAAAGGUCCUAAAUAAAUAAGGAUGGCUGUACAUGCCUCAUCUCUGGGAUUCUAGAUAUGGAAUUGGCCCAGAAUGUUUCCUCCCCGCUUGCUCCCAAGCAGUGACUACUCCAUUUGAUUCAAGGCAUAAUAGGUAACUCAGAAAUUGGUUGUGUUCCUCUUUGGACUGUUCAGGGUUAGCACCACCAGGAAGGACACACCCAGGCCAGCAAGAGGACACAAAGCAUCAGAAUCACAGGCUGGCCAACAAUGAAGUAUCUAUUACAUCAUGCCUGUGUUUCCGAUCAGUAGAGAACAACUGUUGUGUGGUGGUGCCAGCCUGUCUGCCCAUUUCAGAGGGAGACACACAAUUUCCUUCCCUCAACCCCUCUUCCUGGCCUUUGAGUUCUGAGUCACUGCCGGAUGAAGUGAUUAACCUCUUGUUCAAGAGAGACCAGCUUUGAAAUGGACAAGCAUCAGCAAAGGCUUGGGACUCAUUCAUGCAGUGGUGCAGUUCGGCCCAAAGCCCAGAGCCCCACAAUCCAAGGGUCCCUGAAUUGAUAAUCCAGGGCCAGGGAGUGGCCAGUGUUGCGGGGUGGGAGGUGGCAAAGAGACUCUGUAUUGGCACCUGGACCAACAUGGGUAUGCUGGGAAUAAGGACAGGCAAAUCUGUCAAUUUCAUUUUUCUUAGUUUCUCAUUUUUCUAAUUUUCCAGUUCUUCACUUCUACAACAAUUUGUGGAUAGGAGAAAAAAAAACCCGUAGGGAAAUUUGCAAAUUUCUCCUUAUGAACAUAUCGUAUGGCAUUGUGACCAAUAUACACAUAUUGUAUGUGGUUUUCGUGGUGUUAGCAAACUUCACAAGUAAAGGAAUUCUGGUUGAAAACAGACCAAACGAUGCCUUUCCCCUCCAACCAAGAUUGGGCUCCCUGAAGCAGUUCAAAGUUAUAAGCCACCAAAAUGGUUCAACAUAAAGCUACUUAUGGCAGAGUCUCUUCUGAUCUUGGUAGCUGAUGGCAUAAUCAAAGUUCCAGGCUCUUCUCUCCAAAGAGAGGCCAUAGAGGGCACUGUUGGCGGUCUUGGAUGUUGGCUGGUAAUCUUGGAAGUUGACUGUCCACCAAUGCAGCAUCUUAUAGAUACUGGCAGUUCAAGGCCCUACUCUCCAAAAGGGCUGUUCUUGACUAGCACAAUGGAGGAGCAACCAAAGAACUUAGAAGCAGCCAUUGUAACCUAGGUCAGAGGUGGAAAACCUGUGGCUCCUUUGAUGUCGCUGGUUACAACUCUCAUUCCAUCAUUCUCUCAUCAUCCUAGACAAUUGGCCCAUGCUGGAUAUUGGCCAAUGGGACUUGGAGUCCAACCACAUCUGGAAAGUCGCAGGUUCCCCACUCCUGUCCUAGGUGGCAAUGUAUGAAGUGGGUGGGUAUGCAUAGAAGGAAUGAUGGUAGACCUGGUUCAAAUGAUGCAGCUGUGUCUAUGGAGACCACCCAGAGAGGACUCUGCUAGACCGCAUCAGCAUGAAUCCAUUAUAUUAACCAUGAAAGGUUGCUCAUAGGCAUACAGGCAGAAUCUCCCAGCUCUACUCCAAUUCCAGUUCUGACAUCCCCAAUAAUUACAUGAUUAUCUGGCAAACAUUUACACAACUUUCCAGAAUUCUGAUUAUUAGGUUUCUGCUUUCAGUUGAAAAUUCCACACUUUGAUAAAAGUAUGUGGCAAUUGCACUUGUGUGUCAGGCUUCAGGGAAUCGGAUACCUCCCCCAGUGGCAGUAAUUAAGAAGAUCAAACAAAAGGAGCGUUCUUACCAGAUAGUUUCUUUAAUAAUCACAGCGAAGGACAAAGGAAUGCAUAUCUCUCUAAAAAUGAUGUUGCUCCCAGUUAAGGUCCACACCCUCCGUCCCCAUUAAUCUACAUCACUCCUACGUCGGGUAAUCUGAGCUUGUUGCCUCUGCGCUUUCUGUUCUAUCACUCAGUGCCCAUCUAGUCCUAGGUAAAGGGGGGGGGUCAGGAAUGCUGUCCAAGGACACUGAAUCUGCCAGCUGUCUCUCUCCUGGUGUUUCCUCUUCUAGCUGUUCCUCACCCUGUAUUUCCCAGCUUUUCUCCUCUGGACUAUACCCCUCUGCAAACCACUAUUCUAAAUCAAUCCUGUCCUCCUGCCCUUGGGAAGGUUCAGGAGAAGGAGUUGGGCGGUUCCCACCAUUCCUCCUCAGUCCAGUCCCUGACAUCGUUCUUUGCAAAUCUCAAGCAUUUGGUUAAUCUGUGCAGAGCAUUUUAGACAAUAGUUAAAUGUUCUUGUGUUUAUAGCUACAGUAUAACUCAGGAGUUGCCAGUGUUGUGCCCUCCAGAGAUUGUUGGACUACAAACUCAUAUGGUGUCUGGCCAUGGGCCACGUAAGUUGGAAAUGAUGGGAGUUGCAAUAGGAGGUGUGUAUUUGUGUGGAACCUUUAUAACAAACUGUUCCUCUGGUGCUACUGCAGAUUUUCUAAGUGUGCUGCUGUCACAAAACAAAAGCAGAGCCUGUAACUCACUCCUGAAAACUCUGGAAAAACCAGGCAUUGUUCAAACUAGGUCCCCUUGUCUUUCCUGCAUGGCAGUCACUAAUAGCAGCCACUCACAAUUUCAGGGGCCGCUGCUCCUACCUGUACAUGAUUUCAGCAACACCCCUUAAAUCUCUAAUGCUCCCCUCCUCAAAAAGCAAUAACCCUUCCCACUGUUAAGCUCCGCUGCUUAAUGCUUGGAAGACGGAGUCAACAAUGUCAUCUCUGGCAUGCUAGGGGUGCUCUCAGCCCUCUGGGCUACCCAAAUCCAUAUACAGAGAAGCAUUUGGUUCAAGAUGGUUUUUCUUGCCAGUGCCUGACUCUGCCUCGCUUGGGGUGUGUGUGUGUGCUUUUCCACUACUUUAAUGAAAGCAGGAGGGAAGAACAUUACCACAUUUUUAAUGGUGUGACUCCACAGGCCUCUAAGAUCUAAUGAUGGCCUAUUAGAGGGUCUCUGUAGCUUUUAACGAGGCACUGACAUUUUUUAAUUUUUGCCUCAGCCACUGGAGACUCCUUACAGGAGGUCAAAGCUGGUUGAUUUAUGCCCAUCCUGCCGUCUUGGUUUAUCCAACUGCCUCCCCGUUAUGCAAGGGCCUGGUGACUCACAAAGGCUGGCUGGCUUUGAUUUCUGCAUGGUUUGAGCCCAUGUUUGGGAAGGGUUUCCCACUGAAUGCCCCGAGCUGCUACAUUCUCAAAGGGCAAGCGCUCUCUGACCACUGUUUAUAGGUUCCGCAUAAUGCAAACCUUCCAGGCUGCAUUCUAAAGCAUCAAGCCCAGAUUUGACUCUACUUUGAUGCUUUCUUGUGGGGGUGGAGAUAUUUGGCAUCACAGUUCAGAUCAGGUCGCCGUCAACCAAUCUACACAUGUGUAUUCUGAACUUCGAGGCUCCCUGGUUUUUCCACCUGAGUGAGGACCAGACAAUAGAUCCUUGCUUCAUUUAUUUUUAACAUUUCUAUACUGCCCGCCACCAAAAGACCACAGGGUGGUUUGCAACUCAGAACAGAAAUAAACAGCACAUCAACACAUAAUGUUUCAGAAACUUAAAAUGGGUAUAUAAGUACAAUUCAUAAUAAUAAACAAUACAUAGCAGUAAAGAAUACAGUACAUAAUACAGACCCUCCAAGUGUCCCUGUUUUCCAGGGACAGUCCCGGAUUUACAGAAGACAUCCUGGUUUCUGAUUUGAUCCCGGAAUGUUGCACGCAAUUGUGAAUUUUUAAUGGUGUCUGCUCUUUGGUCCUCAUAUUGUUUAAGAAACUGUGUGCUUUGUAGGGUCAUCUUUAAAUGUAAACUGAAUCAAAUUCCCCACCCCCAUCCUUAGUUUUAACACACACCAGUUUGUAGGGUAACUGGGAGGAAAUGGAAAGAAUUCUGCCCCUUUGAGUUCUGUGCUCAGUCCAGACUGCUCCUCAUCCAGGUCUCUGCUCUUCUAGCCAGCUAGUGGCUCCUUCCACUCCAGGUUCUGUUUUCACUUGCCAAGUUAUGGGAUGAUGGACCUCGUUGGACCAGAAGGCAAGAAAAGAAAGACAUAAAAACAAAGGAAAGCCAUCCAAGUGGCAAAAUUACGACUUGGCUAUGACAGUAAAUCUUGUGCUGCAGGUCCUUGCCAGCUCCUCUCUCCCACAAUGAGUCAAUUGGUGAAGAACAUAUUGUUUUUUAGGAAAGGCAUCUACAACUUUCGUUUAUUUUGUUGACAUUUUCAAAGGACAUUUUGAAACUUGGUUUAACUGCCCAUGUCAGGAAGAUUUCAGUGAGGAUGAGACAAGGGAAUCAGAGCUUACAAAAGUUCUAUAAAACACACACAACCUCCCAAAGCAAUGAAGAAAAGUAUUGAGUUCAAAUUACUAAUCAGGGAAAUGUGAUUACUUGAUUCUUUUUUAGGUUAAGGGGGGGCACAAUCACACAUUUGCAGAUUGUUUUUACAAUGAAAAUAUAAUGAUGGGCAACCAUUGUACAAAAUCUACAGUAUACAGUCAGGAAAGAGAGGUAAAAGGUAAAAGGUAAAGGUAAAGGACCCCUGGAUGGUUAAGUCCAGUCAAAGGUGACUAUGGGGCUGCGGCGCUGAUCUCACUUUCAGGCCAAGGGAGCCGGUGUUUGUCCGCAGACAGCUUUCUGGGUCAUGUGGCCAGCAGGACUAAACCGCUUCUGGAGCAAUGGAAUGCUGUGACAGAAACCAGAGCGCACGGAAACACCAUUUACCUUCCCACCACAGCGGUACCUAUUUAUCUACUUGCACUGGUGUGCUUUCGAACUGCUAGGUUGGCAGGAGCUGGGACAGAGCAAUGGGAGAUCACUCCAGCGUGGGGAUUCAAACUGCCAACCUUCUGAUCGGCAAGCUCAAGAGGCUCAGUGGUUUAGACCACUAGGAGAACAUCAGCCUAUGUAUGCAGAUGAUCUCAAGUUCUAGCCCCAGCAUUUCCAGGUAAGCCUUGGGAAAGACUCCCUGGAGAGCCAUUGCCACUCAUUGUAGAUUAAUGGUGGAGACCCUCUGGCCUGUGGGCCUGGCUAGGUCCACCAGAUCUCCCCAACUGGCCCACGAGGCCAUUUUGGCUACAAUACACCCACCUGCCUUAUACCCUAUGGCCUGUGAUGUCAGGUGCGGGGCACGGCUGAACCAAAGGAGAUGUGCAGAAACCACCAAUCAGCUGAUUGGCCGCACAGCACUUUGCAAGCUGGCCCUACCAUUAGGCAGAAUGAGGUAACUGUCUCAAGUCACAAAUGCUAGAGGGCAGCAGGGCCAGUUCUCUGGCUGGUCCUCACCAGACUCCUGGCUGUAUCCUUCUGCUGGAGAACAGAGCUGUGCCCAGAAGCCUCAGCGAUAAGCUUUGGUGCCACAAGCUGCCAAUUUCUCUGUGAGGUUUCACUCUUGUGAUGAGCUGUCAGAGCUGCAGCUUGGGCCAUUCUCUUGAUAAUGAAGUGUCCCUAGGCUCUGGGCUGGCCCUACCCCCUCAGGCCAUGGAUUGUACUGGGAGACUUACCUCUGGCUAGCACAUAGACUAAUGCCUAACCCAGCCUGAGCAGCACAAUACCUUCAUUCCAUACAUAGAAAGUGUCUGGACUGGUAGUGGGAAAUCCUGCUUCAGCACUGUCAACAGGAUAGUGCCCACUGGUGUCGCACACAGCUCUGUCUCCCAACAGGAGGAUACAGCCAGGAGGAACAAGUGGGGGGCAGCCCCUGCGGCCUUCCAGCAUUUCCUGCCUGAGGUGGUUGCCUCAUUCUACCUAAUGGUAGGGCCGGCCUUGGUUAGUCCACCUGUUUUUGUAUUGUCUACACUGCCUGGCAGUGAAUUAUCAUGUUUUUCAAGAGGAGUUUUGUGUCAUACCAGCCCUUCCUGGAAGUUCUAGGGAUUGAACCUGGAACUUUCUGCAUGCACUGCCUACGUUCUCCCUCCAUUGUUGGAGGCAGAGAUGAGAUCCAUUUUGUUGUUUCUUCUUUCCCUUCAGAACACAAUCACUUGAACAAUUAAGCUAUAUCACGUGUGAAUUUUCAGUUGGCAGAAACUGGUCUUCAUGGGGGUAUUUAGCACUUGCCAAACUGGAUGUUGCAGAAUCCGCAUAGCCAAGUAUAAUGCCAGCUGUUUCUGAUAUGGCAGGCAGCUGUGGGCUUAUCAGCCCCAGAGGUGUAUGUAAGUAGCAAUUUAAAGUGCUUCUUAAAAUGGGUAAGGACAGCUCCAUAGUUACGAGGCUAACUCGACAUAAUCUUGUUAUCUGCAUCCUGUUUAAUUAUGGCUAACUGAUAGUAAUCGAUGACAUCCUGCAACAAUGAAUUACCAUGUUCUAAUUACAGCCUGCGUUCUUUCUCUCUCCUUUGAAGAAGAAAAAGGUGGAGGCAAAUGGAAGGACAUUUCUAUUCAUCGGUCCUGAUACUACGUUUUAAGAUUAUCUUAUAGCAACAUUCUGGCAAUAUAUCAGCAUUAACUUUAGAGUCACAUUUUCCAAAAUGGCAGAUGAACUGUGGAUAUUAGAACUUCUGAGACCACCAAGAGGAGGUUUCUUUACGUAGCAGAGCAAAAUAAAAGUGCUGAUUUUACCUAAUAUAUAGUUAGAAACAUGUGCUUCCUUUGCCUGCUCCAAGGUCCUGGGAUUCAGGUAUGUGGGUGGUAAUUAUGGAAGCUGCAGUGUCAGCCAACAGGACACUAGAACACCCGAAGCAAUUCUUAUCUGGGAAAAGGGUUGUUUUUCUUAUUUUAAAAAAAGAUAAUUUAAAAAUUCUUUUAGACACCAUGUGGAUUUCAAUCAGAGUAUUUUGGUUGACAUGUUCUGGUUAUCAGUUGUCAACCCACAUGCAAAUGAAACAGGAAGGAAAUCAAAACGUUAGAUGAAACCAGACUCCUCCUGAUACUUAUUUGACUUCCUCCUGAAGGAGCUCUUGGUGUCCAUGCAACUUCAUAGUUAAAACAAUAUAAAAUUCAAAAGAACUAAAACACACAUUUCAGAUUAUAGGUAAAGGGUAAAGGACCCCUGACCAUUAGGUCCAGUCGUGGCCAACUCUGGGGUUGCGGCGCUCAUCUCGCUUUAUUGGCCGAGGGAGCCGGCGUACAACUUCCGGGUCAUGUGGCCAGCAUGACUAAGCCGCUUCUAGCAAACCAGAGCAGCGCACGGAAACACCGUUUACCUUCCCGCCGGAGUGGUACCUAUUUAUCUACUUGCACUUUGACGUGCUUUCGAACUGCUAGGUUGGCAGGAGCAGGGACCGAGCAAUGGGAGCUCACCCCAUCACGGGGAUUCGAACCACCGACCUUCUGAUCGGCAAGUCCUAGGCUCUGUGGUUUAACCCACAGUGCCACCCACAUCCCCAUUUCAGAUUAUAUGUAAGGAGUAAAUCCAGCUAAAUAAUUUUGCAUGCGCAAUGACUUCCAUGAGUGAAACUGAACUUCCUCUCUCUCUCCUUCCCCAUCCUCACCCCUACACCAUCCCCAAACCUGGCCCAGGGAUUUGGGGAGAAGAUCUGGUGUGUGUGUGUGGAGGGUGGAGAGGAAAAGGGAGUCCUGUUGCUUUUGAGGAAGUAAUUUGGGGCAUGCAAAUAUUUAGUUGGCUACAACCUCAUAAUUUUCACACUGCUGAAAUCUUCCAUUCCUUGCCAUCAGGACAGAACAGCUUAAUGAAAAUUGAAACAACAGAAUGAGUUUUAGUACCUCUAAUAAAUACCUCUUAGAUCAGCCAAGUUUGGAACUUCUAAUUCUUGAAAAGGUUUAGGAUUGACGAGCAAACGUUUUCGAAAGAAUGUUCAAGAUGGCUGCAGCAGAGAUAUUUUGUGGGGGAUAUUCUGUAAGAAUUGGCUCUAAUGUCUCCUCAAAUUGACCAGAGGCAGGGCAGAUCAGGAGGGCCACUUGCAGAGAAAGAUGCAGCAGAAGCUGCAAUACAUUCCAGUUUUUUUAUUCUGCCUGCUUCUGUCUCUGUUUCUUUUGAGCCCUUAAAAAAACAGGGUAUGCCUGGGCACACCCAGAAUACUUCUUGUACACGCCUGUGUGGUUUGCUGUAUUGACUUCAUUUUACAUCUCCUUCAAGCUCUCACAUUCAUUCCCUGUGCCCCACAAUUUCAGGUGCAAAUUCCCAGCUGCCCUUUGAAAACUACAGUUCCCAGCAGUCCUCAGUGUAGCAGCAAUUCAACAAAGGGCCUUGUUCUGUCGUAUCCCUUCGAUGCCUUGGGCUUUGCUUGGUUCUCAGACAGGUUCGUCAAUCUGCUAACAUCCACAAAGGCCACUGUGUGCCUAAUAAAGCCUGACAGCUCUACCAAAGAUACUAGCCAACUUGUUAAAUUUUCAAUCAAGUUCUAGCUUGGUUUCUUUCCUCUCGCCUCGUAAGGGUUGGGAAAACUGCCACGCAGACAUCCUUAGGGGUGCUUCGUUCUCCUCUUCCUUCAAGUCAGGUUUUUAUAGCUCUUUUUGCGGUGUUAUGUGCAAAGAAGAUUGGCUGCUGUUUUUCACGCUGGCCAGAGCUAUCUGGCCUUAUAUGAGAGCUAGCCAGGGCUUUAUUUCUACCAAACAAAACCCCCUGGUUCUGGUGCACACUAUGCCCCCAUCCUUCCAUCCCGCUGCCGUUUGCCUGCUUGCAGCCCCCCACCCAUCAUCCUUCUGCCACUGCCGCUCCCCCCUCCAAUCCGCUCCCCCCUUCGCCCCUCGCACCUUUGCCUGCUUUGCCACAACCUUUUUACGACUAUUAUGCACCUUCCUGGAAGGUGUUUUGGUGAUUGUGAAAGAUCACCAAAGCGCCUCUGGAAGGCUGUGCAGCAGCAGCGGAUGAAGCGGGGGGGAGGGAGAGAGAUGCGAGGGGGGAGGGAGCAAGCAGGUAGGCGGGCAAGCCAUGACAGCAGUGAGAUGGCAGCAGCAAUGGGGGGGGGGGAGAGAGGUGGUGGUACAGUUCACGAUUUACGUAUAAGCUAAACAAGCUAUAGCUUAGGGCCCCACACUCUUGUGGGCCCCCAAAAAAUUUAAAGGGGAAAAAAGUGGAUGUACAUUUUCAAAAUACAGUGGUACCUCGCAAGACGAAUGCCUCGCAAGACGAAAAACGCACAAGACGAAAGAGUUUUCUGUUUUUUGAGUCGUUCCACAAGACGAAUUUCCCUAUGGGCUUGCUUCGCAAGACGAAACGUCUUGCGAGUUCUUGCGAGUUUGUUUCCUUUUUCUUAAAGCCGCUAAGCCGCUAAUAGCCAUGCUUCGCAAGACGAAAAAACUGCAAGACGAAGAGACUCGCGGAACGGAUUAAUUUCGUCUUGCGAGGCACCACUGUAUAAGAUAAAAAACAAAUAAAAUAAAACCUACAUACAGCAACAGUGUUUUGUGUUGUGUAGGCUCCUAUGAUGUAAGUAAUAGGCCCCGCCUGCUCCCUAAAAUAUCACUGGUUUGCUCAUUUCUAUAUAUAGGGUGCCUACAUUCUGCAUGUGCAAAUGGCUUUAGAUACCUAUUAGGUCCAUAAAUUACCAUAUAGCAUAUAUUCAACAAAAAAAACCAGUGACAAUUGGUUGUUGACAAAGGACAGCUGGACCUAUAAAGGGCCCCAUUACCUUCAGCAUACCGGUGCACACUGCCUCAAGAAAAGCACUGCAUGUAUCUAGUCUCUCUGGGGACUAAAAGCACUUUGGAGUCAGGUCAGCCAUUAUACACAUGGAAAUGAUAAUGAAAAUAAUAAUAAUAGAGAUUUAAAAUUCUGCUCCUUAACCUUUAAAGGAUAAGUUUCAAAGCUACAAUUCCCAAAGUUCCCAAUGAAGAGAGAUUGAUUGUUAAAACCCUUUGGGAAUUGUAGCUUUGGGAGAGGAAUACGGGCCUCUUAAGAGCUCCCAGCACCCUUCACAAACUACAGCUCCCAGAAUUCUUUGGGGGAAGCCAUGACUGUUUAAAGUGGUAUCAUAGUCCUUUAAACGUAUGGUGUGAAUGUGACCUAUGUUAAAUGAGGUUCAUUCCCUAGCAAAAUUGCUUAGGUUUGCAGACAUCUUUGUACUCUGUACAAAUGUUGGCUCCUUCGGCCAGUAAAGCGAGAUGAGCACCGCAACCCCAGAGUCGUUCGUGACUGAACUUAAGUGUCGGGGGUCUUGUAAAGGGUAAAGGGACCCCUGACCAUUAGGUCCAGUUGUGGCCAACUCUGGGGUUGCGGGGCUCAUCUCGCUUUAUUGGCCGAGGGAGCCGGCGUACAGCUUCUGGGUCAUGUGGCUUCUAGCGAACCAGAGCAGCGCAUGGAAAUGCUGUUUACCUUCCCGCCGGAGUGGUACCUAUUUAUCAACUUGCACUUUGACGUGCUUUCGAACUGCUAGGUUGGCAGGAGCAGGGACCAAGUAACGGGAGCUCACCCCGUCGCAGGGAUUCGAACCGCCGACCUUCUAAUCGGCAGGUCCCAGGCUCUGUGGUUUAACCUACAGCGCCACUCACAUCCCUCAGGGGUCUUUUACCUUUACCUUUUUACAAGCAGUGAAUACAGUGGUACCUCUGGUUACUUACUUAAUUCGUUCCGGAGGUCCGUUCUUAACCUGAAACUGUUCUUAACCUGAAGCACCACUUUAGCUAAUGCGGCCUCCUGCUGCUGCCUGCCGUGCUGUUCUCAUCCUGAAGCAAAGUUCUUAACCCGAGGGACUAUUUCUGGGUUAGUGGAGUCUGUAACCUGAAGCGUAUGUAACCCGAGGUACCACUGCAGUUGAAGCAAGCUGGCAAUCAUAAGAGCAAUCAUAAGAGCAGGCAGCGCAGCUGAGGGUUAUCCUACUCAGGGCAGACCCACUGAAAUUUAUGGACCCAAGUUAGUCCUGUUCAUUUGAGAAUAACUUAGUUGGUUGCACCUCUAAGUUUCCUUGAGCAUUAAAGAUGGAGAAGAUCAGCAGUUUAAAUAAAUGAUAUACAUAGGUUGCCAUGCAAUCCCAUUGAAGUGCAGAGAAUUGCAGUGUCUCUCUUACUGCUCCUCAGUUGGCCUUGAAGCAACAGUAACAUGCACUGCUAGUAACAUGCACCCCUAGUAAGGAGUGGCUUUGGCAAAUGCCUCUCCUGCUGCUCUCCCUUGUGUCUUGUUUCUUCACCUCAACUCCGCUUCUCAGAACAAUGAGCCACCAGUCCCUUGUGUGGCUGCGGAUUGAUCUUUACCCAACGAUGGUUUCAUGCCAUGGGUAAUUCAUGAGUCUCCUUUGCUUAUCCCCGACAUUCAGGAGUCGGUGAUGCUUGAAUAUCUGAGUCAGAGAAAGAAUGUGAGGUUGAAUGGGGGCAAAGAGAGAGACUCAUCAAAUUGUCUCCCGAGUCUCUUAUGCCAUCAACAUAGCAGACGCCCAUGGAGGCCUCUGUCAUCCAAGAAUUUGGCUUGCAGCCCAGCCCAACCAAGUACACACACACACACUGCACUGAGUCAAAUGCCACUUGGAAGAACAGAAUCAGGGCAGAGCAGGAAGGAUGAUAACAUAUCCUGGCUGAUACUUUCAAACUCAAAGGAAGAAAUAUAAUAUUGGUGUAGCCAACGGGAAUUUGUGCAAAACAGAUGCUCAUGCGAAUUGAAUGCAUUUCAAAAGUGCCAAUUUCCCAGCAUCGCGAUACAUUUAGGUGCCCAUAUGGAAUUAAGGAGCUGCCUUGUACUGAAUCAGACCAUUGGUCCAACUAGCUCACUAUUGUAUGACACUGGCUGGCAGCAGUGCUCCAAGAUUUCAGACAUGGUUCUCUCUCAGAUUUACCUGGAGUCGCUUGCACUGAACCCUGGGAACAUCAGUGUGCCAAACAGAUGCUCUCCCACUCAGCUAUGGUGCUUCCCUGAAAGCAAAAAUGAGCCAGGACACAAAAUAGUCCAAAAAAUCUAUUGAUUUUUGUUGUUGAAGUGUGUGUGUGUGUGUGUGUGUGUGUGUGUGUGUGUGUGUGUGCCAAUGGAAAACAUUGGAGUAAAACAAUAUACAGUGGUACCUCGGGUUAAGAGCUUACCGUAUUUUUUGCUCUAUAAGACUCACCUUUUCCCUCCUAAAAAGUAAGGGGAAAUGUGUGUGUGUCUUAUGGAGCGAAUGCAGGCUGCGCAGCUAUCUCAGAAGCCAGAACAGCAAGAGGGUGCAGCGAUCCCUCUUGCUGUUCUGGCUUCUGAGAUUCAGAAUAAUUUUUUUUCUUGUUUUCCUCCUCCAAAAACUAGGUGCGUCUUGUGGUCUGGUGCGUCUUAUAGAGCGAAAAAUACGAUAAUUCAUUCUGGAGGUCCGUUCUUAACCUGAAACUGUUCUUAACCUGAAGCACCACUUUAGCUAAUGGGGCCUCCCGCUGCCGCCAUGCCGCCGCUGCACGAUUUCUGUUCUCAUCCUGAAGCAAAGUUCUUAACCCAAGGUACUAUUUCUGGGUUAGUGGAGUCUGUAACCUGAAGCGUCUGUUACCCAUGGUACCACUGUACUAUGGGUCCCUCUGUUAGGAUAUUUCCGUUCCACCUUAAAAGGGAGCAGGCUUUGUGGGUCAGAGUCUGCGCAUGUCCUGUUCACAGGAUGUUUAUGUUUGCUAUUGCUUUCGUUUCUCUCUGUGUCUGGAGACAUCGAUGCAGGCAGUCAUGGUUUUCUUUGUUCUGAUCAACGCUGAAUAAAACUUAUAAAUAAUGCUCUCCUGAGUGCGACUUCUGCUGUGCAUUAUCUGCUGAUAAAGAGUGUGCAUCGGCUCUAGAAUGUUCUGGAGCUCAUGUCGCUAAUUGCUGAUACUGCGUGACUACGGGAGGUCGAUGGAUUGUCCGGCAGCCGGCUUGGGGGCCAUGAUGGACUUCAUCUCCCUGGCAGUAUCCCAACACCAGGGGAUGGGUCCCUCCACCAAAAAAACCCCCUAAAACCGAUCUACAGAAGCAAACUUGCUACACUCAUAAUCACUUUCCUGGGUGUAAGCAGUACUGAAUUCAACAGGUCUUACUUCGUAGUAGCAUUGUGCUAGCUAUAAGGACUUUUCUUCUGACACCACACACAUGGAUUUGUUUUGGAACAUUCAAAUACCCUGUUAAAAUGAGCUCAGAAUGUCUUUGUAUACUCUUUCUUGUCGUUGUUUAUGAGGGUUAACAGUGGCAGAAAUUUCUGCAGCGCUCUGCGUGACGCCAAAAUUUGUCCCCUUCCAGCAAACCAGUUGCACUCCCCUAAAUCCACAAAGGGUUCCAAUGGUGAGUUGCCUUUCUUAUGUAUUUCUAAUCCUUACUUCCUUUUCCCCCAUUUCUAAUCCUCAAAAUCUCCAGUGUUCAUAAACAAUGCACUGGACAAGACGCCAGUUAUGAAUUGCUCACCGACUAUGACAGGAAAGAGGAACUGUGGCCUUCCAGGAUUCAUUGGACCCUCUACAUGUUAUUGGACUCCAACUCCCAUCAUCCCCAAUCAGCACAGCUAAUGAUCAGGGUUGAUGGGAGUUGAAGUCCAACAACAUCAGAGGGCCACAGGUUUCCCACCUCUGAGCUACGGAGUUCCUCCAUUAUAUGAUGAAAGGAAAUUAUUCACAUCCAUAAACCCAAUUUAUAGUUCAAAUAGUCACAGGUGCCAAAAUUUGUGAGCUCUCUGAUAAUUGUAGCAUUCCUAACAUCUGGAGACAGAUGCUCUGUUAUACUGGAUGUAACCGUAAAAGUGUAAUCUCUUUGCCAUGAGAGCCAUCUUGUCUGGUCUGGACUGCAUUGAAUUCAGUGCUUUGGGAAGGAAAAGUGAGCAUUCUCUUUUUAUGUUACUUUCAGCAAAAAUGAUUUUUUUAAAAGGUCCUGCAGCCCAUUCAUCGACUCCCAAAUUAAAUAUUUUUUUAAAAAUUAAUAUUGUCUUUAAAAUUGCAACCUGAGCCUUUUGAUGCUUAAAUUAUUGUGUAAUCACUCACACCCAAGUAGAGUGAAUAUACACCUUGGCAUAAAAUAUUACACAAUAAACCCAUGCCCUGUUGUGUCUUAUUACUUAAUUAGCCCAUGUAACGACAUGAUUCGAAAUAACCAAAAUGGGAUUGCGUCAUGUGACUCGUUAAAGCAAAGGUGAAUUAGUAGCUGCUAAGCGAACUGCAAAGAGAAAACUAUUUUGCCACCUUGUUUCAUGGACCAAUAAUGGUCAAGAGAUUUGAUGGGAGAAGGUGGAAAACUCCAAGAGUCAGCGGAGCAGCAACAAUGAAAAUUGCAUGCUGAAACCAUAUAAUUUGCUUUUAUUUGAUGUCUUGUCCUGACCCAGUUUGAGACAAGAAUAGCAAAUGGCAUUAAGGAGCCAUAGUUGUAUUUAAGAGAGAAAGAAAUCUGGGAAUGGAGCUUGGCUUGGAGUUGUGUCUGAACAUGAGAAAAACAUGCAAGUCUUGGUUACCGAGUCGGAGACAGAAACUUGGAAUACAGCAGUUUGGUGGGCGGACUUAAUGGAGGUACAGAGGACUUAAUGGAGAUACAACUGUGCAGUCUUAUGACCUUGCAAAACAAGACAGACCUGGGCCUUGGUCUGGUUAAUAGCUAGAGGUGGUUCUUUAGUGAGUAUUGAUGGCUAGUAAAAAUUGCUUAAAUGAGCCUUGUUGGCUUGUGUUGGGUGGUGGAUACCAGCUAUUGACAGAGCAAUGGCAGGAUCACACCAUCAAACUGCAGAAAAUAAGAGGGACUAGCUGGAAGCUGCUAUUAAAUUGUCUUUUAAUUAAAUCACUUCCGGUCAUCCCACUCGACCCGUAGUUUAUCUACUUCACAGAGUCUCAUUCAUGAACAUACAUAUAAAACAUAUAGAAGCCCCUUCUAUAUUAAUGCUUAUUGUGCCAAAAGGAAUUUAAUGUGGUGGGUGCGGUUAUGGGAUGCUCAUGAAUAUGGCUCAUGUGAAAUGAGUAAUCUGACAUGUACACGAUACCAUGAAAGUUGAAUUGCUUGUUCCUGCUCUAAAGGAGAUGGUGUAGUAUACAGCAUUGCACAGAAAUGGCACUGUAUCAUACAUUUUGAAGCACAAUAUUUUCCCAUGAGUACAGAAGGAUCCCAAUCCCCUGCUCCUGAUGACUCUGGGUCACUCUGGGUGGCCUGACCUGCAGCAAUCUGGCCAAAUCAGCCAGAUCAAAUUUGGGCUUUGGGUGAAUCUGCUACACAGUCCUAGUUCAAAUCACAGGCAGCUACAAUACUUUGCAAGUGAUCUAACACCUGUCAGGGGUUCUUAACCCUAAUACACUUUCAUAAGCCGCUUCUGGCGAACCAGAGCAGCACACAGAAACGCUGUUUACCUUCCCGCCAGAGUGGUAUCUAUUUAUCUACUUGCAGAACUGCUAGGUUGGCAGGAGCAGGGACCGAGCAACGGGAGCUCACCCCGCCACGGGAAUUCGAACCACCAACCUUCUGAUCAGCAAGUCCUAGGCUCUGUGGUUUAACCCACAGCGCCACCCGCAUCCCUCCAUACACUUUCAUACCCUCUGACAUUUCUCUGAUGAAAAUUGUUGUUGUUUAGUCGUUUAGUCGUUUAGUCGUGUCCGACUCUUCAUGACCCCAUGGACCAGAGAGAAAGACAAAAUAGAGCAGAGAAGGGGGAAAAAGAGAGAAAAGAAAAAACAAUACAAUAAACAAUACAAAACACAACCUUAACACACUAAACUAAACAAAGCAAAACAACAAUUUAAAAACAUAUACCAUACCAUUUCAUUACUCUAUCUUUCAUUCCCUUAUUUCAUCUCACCUCCCUUUUUGUAUUCCACUUCUAUUACUUGUUUCAGCAAUUCCUUUCCAUCUUUCUCUAUUUUUAUCAUUAUGAAUAUCUUAACAUAUUUUUAACCUUAUUUUCCAUUAAUACUGAAAUAUUUAUACCUAACUCCUUAUAACAUUUCUGCUAAAGCCAUAAAGUUUCAUUCCAACAAUUUUCUAACACUCAUUAAAUUUACAAUAUUUAUAUAUAUAAACUUUAAACUUUCCCAAUCUUCUACCACCAUCUCUUCUCCCUGGUCUCGGAUUCUUCCAGUCAUUUCCGUCCAUUCCAUAUAGUUCAUCAACCUGGAGAUCUUCUGUCCGAGGCUCUUAAAUCUUUUCCAAGUCCCUUCUGCAGUUUUUCUUCAUAUUCUUUGAUGCUGAAGGUGCUGAAGCGCAGGUCUUGGGUGGGCCCCGACCCAACCAUGCCCCCAUUCCCUCUCGACAGACCAACCAACUUUCCGCAGCUAAAACCAAUGUCCAUACAAUAUCUCAAAUCAUGUUUCAAGGCUCCUCCAGAUCCAAAGGCCCCCACAACUCCAAUCAUCUCCUGACCCAGAUUCAGGACCCAAAGGUCAGUAAAUCUCUGCAUGAAAGAGUCUAUCCAACAUUCCUUCUCCAUUCCAAGCAGGGCUCUAAUCUUCAAAUUCUGACUUUUUCUAUAUUCAUUCCUAAAAGGCCUCCACUUAUAGUCCUCAAUUUACCUCUGUAAAACUGGGGCUUCCACUUGUAUUAUUUUAGGUUCAACAACACCAACAUUCUCCUUCAUCUUCUCCCCAGUUUGUCCUGUCAAAGUAGGUUCCUGUGUCAAAUCCUGAACAAUUUCUGUAUUAAUGGUCAAUUUUUGUUCCAAAUUAAUCACUUUUUGUCCCAAGUUCUCAAGUUUGGUAUUCAUAGCAUCCGUCUUCUUGUGGAGCUGUUCCAACGAAUAGCUUAUCUUACAUAAUACAGUCACUAAGGCUCCUUCUGUCAACAUUCUUAAAAUCCAAGGUCAAUAUCUAUUUCACACAGUUCUUAUCUUGCAGCUGGAAAAACCCCAGCUCCACUCUUGUAACAGUUUCAAAAGCUCCCUCUAGAGGGAAACAGUCUCCAUUUGUAUCAAUCCUUUCAAACACAAUUUAAACUAUAAAGUUAGUUUCAGUUUUCAGUUACUUUUCCUACUUUUUAAACGCAGAUGAGGACAAUGGAAACAAUAUAUUUCUCUUAUUUAGCUAGCUGUCAAAAAAGUCACUCUUUCUGGCAGCCCGUUUCCAGGUUUGGAGCAGUGGUAAUUUGGUUUUUCACUCUCUCCUGCAGGCUCACUAGGUCCAAAAUUUCCCCCCUCUUCUCCUGUUUCCAAGGGGGGUUUAAUAGUUUUAACCGAUGGAGAUUUAAUCAUUUACAAAAAUAAACUUUCCAAGGCUUUAACUUGCAACUUCUUUGCUUCAAUCUGUUUACAAAAAAGGAAGGCGGACUUCCUGUUUAAAACCUUCCCGUUUCGAUGCCAAAUUAAUGAAUUUAAUUUUCCGUUCUACUCACAGGUAGUUGUUUAAAAUCCAAUUGUCCACAGGAAAAAGUCAGCGCUCUCCGGCAACAGCGAUGCGGCUUCACUCCGUGAAAGAAGCAGUCAAUUUGAAGCACCGCGCCGCUCACCCCACUUCGCUCCGGAUCCCCAAAUCAGGGUUUCCCCGCGAGUAGGGGAGGCGCAAAGGGCGCCAGCCGAAUCCCAAGUUCACAGGCUUCUCCCGCCUGUGAUUUCAGUGGGUCUCUGCCUUCGCCGUGGCGGUCAGACCCUAAUUUCCACGGAGCAAAUUCCUCCCGAUCGGAGGAACUCCGCCAUUGCCUGGAGACGCCAACCCGGAAGUCCUCCAUACACUUUCACACCCUCUGACAUUUCUCUGAUGAAAAUUGUUGUUGUUUAGUCGUUUAGUCGUGUCCGACUCUUCAUGACCCCAUGGACCAGAGCACGCCAGGCACUCCCCCAGUUUGGUCAAACUCAUGCUGGUAGCUUUGAGAACACUGUCCAACCAUCUUGUCCUCUGUCGUCCCCUUCUCCUUGUGCCCUCAAUCUUUCCCAACAUCAGGGUCUUUUCCAGGGAGUCUUCUCUUCUCAUGAGGUGGCCAAAGUAUUGGAGCCUCAGCUUCAGGAUCUGUCCUUCUAGUGAGCACUCAGGGCUGAUUUCCUUCAGAAUGGAUAGGUCUGAUCUUCUUGCAGUCCAUGGGACUCUCGAAAAUAGGGAAGUCCUAUUCCAUAGUAAUAAUAAUUAUAUUAUUUAUAUAAUAUGCCCAUCUGACUGGGUUACCCCGGCCACUCUUGGCAGCUUUCAACACUGAGAUCCAGCGCCGAGGGCCUUCUGGUUGUUCCCUCAUUCCAAGAAGCGAAGUUACAGGGAAGCAGGCAGAGGGCCUUCUUGGUAGUGGCACCCGCCCUGUGGAAUGCCCUCCCACCAGAUGUCAAGAAAAUAAACAACUACCUGACUUUUAGAAGACAUCUGAAGGCAGUGCUGUUUAGGGAAGUUUUUAGUGUUUGAUGUUUUAUUGUGUUUUUAAUAUCCUGUUGGAAGCUGCCCAGAGUGACUAGCGAGACAUGGCCAGAUGGGCGGUGUAUAAGUAAUAAAUUAAUAAUAAUAAUAAUAAUAAUAAUAAUAAUAAACCAUUAAACACUAAAAAACUUCCCUAUACAGGGCUGCCUUCAGAUGUAUAGUCGCUUAUCUCCUUGACUUGGGGGUCGCAUAACUCCAUACCCUCCGAUAUUUCUCUGAUGAAAGUACGGACAUCCCAAGGAAAAGCAGGACAUUCUGGGAUAAAAACAACAACUGGGAUGGCUUCUGUAAAUCUGGGACUGUCUCUGGAAAAUAGGGACACUUGGAGGGUCUGAACUUUACAGGCUUUUCACGAGGAUAAAGGGGGCAACAUAUAUGCUGCUGUAAAGUCCUUGGAUGAAUUGCAAGAUCAAAAAACCACCACAACAACAAACCCAACAGCCCCGAUAAGACAGCUAAUUAGACUGGAAAACCAUGAUGUGAAGUCCAUCUUGUCUCCUCAUGUUAUUUUGAAUUGCAUUUCACUCAUGCCCGACAGGCCUGUGUAAUUGGGCUGCACAUCACACCUGUCAACAAGCAGACGGCACCUGCUGGGCUAGACCUGCAGCAUGGGCAAGUCAGAUGCAAAUCACAGCAUAUGCGCUGUGGGUCUGGCUCUAGUUCCAGGUGCAACACAGUACAUAGGCGCAGGAUUUAUGCAGCUCUGUAUUUAUUCUGAUUAAUUCCUCCCACCCUGUGCCACAUAAGCUGGAUGGGUCGCCGUGUCUGCUCAUCUCUUUAUAAGAAUCUUGCAAGAUAGGUGGACUACCUUGUGGGUUUAGCAGGGGGCAUUGAAUAAAUACCAAUCCAACUGUAUAUCUUUGCAUCAGCUUAUGCAAAACCUGUAGCCGCCAUGGCGAAGCAACAGUGGCGCAGAUCCUCUCCUGGCUACCUUGCCCAGAAUGUCUCAGUCUGAGGAAGGACAUCCACAGCCCUUCUCCGGAGCAAAGCAGAGAGGUAAAGAGCUAGAUGCUGCCAACUUGGAAGCAAAAUGGCCAGAAAGAAUAAGCAGGCUGAUGGUGAGGAAGGGAGAUGAUGAAGAAGAAGAGUUUGGGUUUGAUAUCCCGCUUUAUCACUAUCCUAAGGAGUCUCAAAGCGGCUAACAAUCUCCUUUUCCCUUACUUCCCCACAACAAACACUUUGUGAGGUGAGUGAGGCUGAGAGACUUCAGAGAAGUGUGACUAGUCCAAGGUCACCCAGCAGCUGCAUGUGGCUCACCAGAUUAGGAGUCCACCGCUCUUAACCAGUACACCACACUGGCUUUUGAAAACAUUUAAAAACAUAGCCAACAGGAAUUCUGUAAAAAGAAGGGUCCUUCUCCCCACCUUUCGGGACUUAGGGUCCUGCCCGUUGGGCUUUGAAAUAAGCGAAUGUGCUGGGACUCAGAGGACUCUCCCUGAAAGGGAGUCUGAUAGUUGGCUAUUACUUCACUGGGUGUAUUUACUUCAAAAUGUGGCAAGCCAUUCCUACUGUGUUUGGGGACCCUCCUGCUCAUUCAACUGAAUGAACUGUGGACAACCUGCCCAAAAGUCUCACUCUGCUAGGACUGGUCCUAGCUGCUGUCUAGCAAAUGCAUUAGGUCCAAGAGGAAGGUUGGAUAUGAGGUCUCUCAGACAGAUGUGCUCUCGGGAAGAUCAGGAACAGAUCCCCUACCUGUUCUCCACCCCUCUAUAUCUUCCCUUUGGCUUUAAUCCUGGGCUGGGAGCAUCUCCUGGGGAAGAAUCCUGAGCUGUGGGGAUCCUCAUUCCCUGUCUUUCUGGUCAAGUAUAAAACCUGAGACAGAAUAGCCUGCAACUCACAUGACAGAUACUGACUAGGUUCAUUGUUCCCUCAUAAACACUAUGACGUCACAGAUUGCCACGGCAGAAAUGUGGAGUAUCACCUGGGACCACUCAAGUGACCCUGAACCAGGCUGAGCCCUUGCUUUUACUAAGAAUGGGCUCAGAAAUAAGUCUCCAUGUGAAGGAGAGGGGAAUUGAACCUGGCUCACCAGAUUACAAGUCCACCGCUCUGAACCACUACACCACACUGGCAGCGGUGGGAAAGAAGGAGAGAGAGUAAUGCUGGGUGACACCUCCUGGCCCCCAUUUUGGACAGUCUAGUCUAGUCUUUUGAACUGGUCCUGCACCUAUCUCUUUCCCCACCCCAUUCAGCUAUUGCAUCUUCCUCUGAGCAAACUUAAGAGGUUUGGUGGCCGGGUCUCAUCAGCACUGCACAGAACAAAACAACUGGGUUUUGGGGGGCCUGGACUACCCACUAGCAGGAUCCAGUGCCAGAUUUACAUAUAAGCUUAACAAGCUAUAGCUUAGGGCCCCACACUCUUGGGGCCCCCCAAAAAAAUUAAAGGAGAAAACAACAACUGGAUGUACAUUUCCAAAAUAUAAGAUAAAAAACAAAUAAAAUGAAACCUACAUACAGCAACAGUGGCAAAUGGCUUUAGAUACCUAUUAGGUCCAUAAAUUACUACAUAGCAUAUAUUCAACACAAAAAACUGGGGCAAUUUGUUGUUGACAAAGGACAGCUAGACAUAUAAAGGGCUCCAUUAACUUCAGUAGCUUAGGGCCUCAUCAAACCUGAAUCUGGCCCUGGCAACGUCCCUACUGAGAAGAGGUCUGACACUGGUUUCCAAACCCAUCCAAGACUUGUCAGUUGCACCACCACCUGAAUUCUGUGACUACUGAGGUACGGUAAGUCAUUCUCUGUGUGCAUGGAAUUCCCUUCACAACCAGUGUUCUUGCUUAAUUGAUAGUCCUGCAGAUCUCGUAGGCCAACAGAACCCCACAAAUGGGUAUAAGAAGCCUAUCCAGAGCUGUUCAGCUGAGUGCCUACCCUUUGUAAAUCAUGUUAGAAUCAUUAUUCUAAAUCCCUUCCAAACAGUGAACGCUCUAUAACUUUGUUUUAUGAUUUUAACAGGAAGGGUGAAUUACCACUGGAACAAGGUGCCAAAAUAAAAGGGUAGAUUAUUCAUCAUUUGCUUUCUGCAAGCUUGGAUCAGGUGCCCUUUGGGAAGAGGGGGAGGGAAGUCUGCUUGCACGUUCUUGGGAUUCGUCUGCCUUUUGUUACAGAUCAUAUACUCAACAGUGAAUGGCACCCACCUGAUUUCAGUUAUUAAGGGUAAACUGAUGCUCCCACACCUUUAUGUGCCCCACAUCUGACGUCAUAUAUAUGACGUCAGGUGUAGGGCAGGGGUGUGUGGCUUGGCUGAAAUGGACUUAUAGGCAAAAUGGGGAGGCCUGGCCCAUCUAAUUAGGCCCUCAGCCUGGAGAUUCCCUUCUGGUGCAAUGUUGUUGUUGUUGUUUAGUUGUUUAGUCGUGUCUGACUCUUCGUGACCCCAUGGACCAGAGCAAGCCAGGCACUCCUGCCUUCCACUGCCUCCUGCAGUUUGGUCAAACUCAUGCUGGUAGCUUUGAGAACACUAUCCAACCAUCUCGUCCUCUGUCGUCCCCUUUCUCCUUGUGCCCUCAAUCUUUCCCAACAUCAGGGUCUUUUCCAGGGAGUUCUGGUACAAUAUGGUAUGGCUAUAAGUUUAUGCAUAGUAAUGGUGCUGACUAGAGGCAGAUGGAUCAGUCUGUUUCUGGACUCAGCUCCGUUUGUUGUUGUUGUUGUUAUUGUUGUUGUUUUUAAGGCGUUUUGAAUGUGUUAUAACACUGUGAUGCCAGAUGGUGCUGUAGAGUUCUGUCUUUCGGCAACGUGAUUUCCCUUUAUGAGGUUUACAAUGCAUUUUCCUGAAACUUUUUUUUGAUGUGUCUAGAUCCAAAUCGGAUUCAAAUCCCUAUCAAGGGACUCCAUCCUUUAAAUUGAGCUAAGGACAGCAUUGCAAAAUUCGGAAUGCAAAAUGACUACCUUCCAAGCUGCAGGGAGUGUGGGCGGAACCUGUCAGUUCAUACCAGAUUUAACAGAGAUAAAAUUCCCUACAUCUCCUUAGAGGCUGCAAAAGCAGUUUAAGACGUCAGAUUACAACAGGAAAAGAAAGGAUGAGUGUAAAAUGAGCAUUUCACACAGAAAUUCACAGGAUGAAAACCCCUUUGCAAAAUUAAUGGAUAUGGAAUAUUUAAAUACGAAUGAAAGUCGCCAGAUCAGUGGCUGUUAAAAUAAAAUGAAGGAUCAAUAUUGGAACAGAUGCAUUUGGACUAAAUAAGAGUUUUGGAGCAGGACGAAAGCAGAACAACCUCCGAAGACCAGAGCACAGGAAGUCAAAUAAAAUUGUUUAAUUUGGUAUUGAAUAAUCAGC